rnacentral:rRNA from 1 species
GACCCCGCACAAGCAGUGGAGCAUGUGGUUUAAUUCGAAGAUACGCGCAGAACCUUACCAACGCUUGACAUGUUCGUCGCGAGACUAAGAGAUUAGUUUCUUCAGUUCGGCUGGACGAAACACAGGUGCUGCAUGGCUGUCGUCAGCUCGUGUCGUGAGAUGUUGGGUUAAGUCCCGCAACGAGCGCAACCCCCUACUUUUAGUUGCCACCAUUUAGUUGGGCACUUUAAAAGAACUGCCAGUGAUAAGCUGGAGGAAGGUGGGGAUGACGUCAAGUCCUCAUGGCCCUUAUGUGUUGGGCUACACACGUGCUACAAUGGCACUUACAAUGGGAAGCAAAGAGGUGACUCUAAGCUAAUCCCUAAAAUGUACCUCAGUUCGGAUUGUACUCUGUAACUCGAGUGCAUGAAGCUGGAAUUGCUAGUAAUCGC